rnacentral:misc_RNA from 1 species
ACUACUUCAGUACAUUAUAAGGCACGGCCAAGACAGAACAACUUUGUACCUUCAUAUAUCCUGUUAUUAUGUUAAUAACUGCAUUCUAUGGUGCUUAAGUUGCAUACAUUGUUUUCUUUUUGUUAUUAUGACAUUCCAGGGUUGUUGUAUGAGCACUCAUACAAUAUUUGUAAUUCAUUUGAUUGAUAUUGUGUUGACAUGUAUUUUUUAAGGCAAUGUAUAUGUUUUGAGUAUUUUUCAUAUAUAUUUUUAAUUUGUGAGCAUUGUUCCUGUUGUAUACAAAGAUGCUGCAAGAAUGGUCCGAGAAAAAUGCAUCGUACAUGUGUAUCAUUGAGUGGUUCAUUUCUUAUCCUCAUUGUCAUAAUUUGUUCUCAAAAACUCGAAUAAAACAAUAAAAACUC